GAGAUGCAGCUCUCAGGCUUGAAAAGAACGAGCUCGACCAUAAUGGGCUUCAAAACAAAAUACAUCAAUCAAACUUCCCAGGCCUAAUCCUCAAAGGUUACAUAGGCAAUACAGCUUAAUGGAUAAAUGUUAUUUGUCGGGCUUUCUGAUGCUUCUGAGCUUAAGCCCACUACCCAAAAACACAGCCUGUCUGCCUUGCCUGUACGUUACUUUGGACCGAAACAGAUUCUAAAUAAAUAUAAGUAAAUAUACAGUAAAUUGCCCUUAGAAUACAAACUGACCCGCUAAUUCUAAAAACUCACACUACUGUAUGCACUAAUCUUGAUUUCUUGAAUUAUUACUAAUUAUUUCCAACGGAAAAUGUCAGAUGCAUUGUAAUAAAGUUACAUAUAUACCACCAUCUCUCCCACUUCUGAACACAUGGCCUGACAUUUACUAGUCAAAUGAGAUCCUUUAGGACAUCGACUGAAUGGCUUACGACAGAGGAACUACCCUUCAGGUGUGGUAACCACGGGCAACAGUCAACAUUAGAACACAUUUGACCAAACAUUUGCUCAUAUCUAUUAUGUACUUUUAACCUUGACAGCUCUACUUGCUUAUUAAAGCAGGUGCAGUGCAACAGGAUGUGCUUUUGUAUUCCUAAAAGCACAUGGCUCCAUUGCCGGGUGCCAAUUUACCUACUGUAGAGUCUGUGUUUUUAAGGGGACAUCACUCACGCAGUCGCUGUAAUGACACUUAUAACAAACACAUAAGCAGAGUUGCCCUUUGUGAAGUUCGACCAGGGGGAAAAUGUUAAACAGCCAGCAACUUAAGCAGUUUUAUGUACUAAAGGAAUCUCCGUUCAAACAAUCCAACAAAACUGGCACUUAAACAGUUAACCCCACACACAGUGGGCAUCAACAGGAAAGCUGGGAGGGAAUAGAGAGAGAGAGAGAGAGAGAGAAUUGCGUGCAGAGUGAAGUGUUGAGAAACAAAGAAGCAAGCUGAGGAGCAGCGAGACGGAACAGCUGUAAUACACAACAGGCUAUUAAACCGGCAAUUCGGUCCUGCUUCUAAGACUGACCGAGGCUGAGGAGCUGCCUCUCUCGCUGGUCCCGUCCCUCGGGUUAGCCGCUGGCAGGCAGAACCUGCCCAGCCACCUCCCCUGCUGCCCUGGGGCCCUCCCUCCUGACUCCACUCCCCCACCUUUUCCUGUUUCUGUUCGGCUCGCGACGGCGGCAGCGGCACACGGAUGCCAGCCGAGCUUCAGCCGGCUCGCGGUCGCCGCAGCUGGCCUGGCAUCUCUGUUCUCCGAAGCAGGAGGCGUCGGCUUCGAUUCGGCCGGGCAGAUUUAAUAAAACAUGAGGCUUCCCUUCGUCAUGCGCAGUGUGCUCGGCCUUGGAGAGGCAGCCCGUCACCGCAGUAAGUACGAUUCCGCAGAUACUAUCAAACACUACUUUCCUGUUGGUUCCUAAAACACUUUCCCUGGCAAGACUCUUGUCAACACCAUCCUUCAUUACUUCUUUCUAAAUGUAUUUCUUGUUGAUGAGACUUUUAGUCUAUUUUUGUCUGUCUCUGUCUCUCUCUCUCACUCAGCUUGUAAAACUAAUUCUUCCCACAUGUCUAAGCUCUAUUCCCCCUCGUUGUGAUGAGUAUUUCCCUUGAAAAUCUUCACGAACCUCCUCGCCUUUUCCUUUUUUUUUUACAGAGGUUCAGUUACGUCCGUUUCACUGUUUUUCGUCUCACCCACAGGGUGUCUUUCAGCGACUGAAUGUAGCGUCUUUUUUAAAAAACCUUUAUCGGGACAAAGCACAGAGUAUAAAUGUAUUUGCAGCCUUGUUCUUUAAAGAGCUCGUGACAGCAGCCCGGUGGUGGAUGCCUGAGAGAGAGUGGAUCCCAAAACGAGAAUGACGUACUGCCCCGUCACACGCAUGGACCCAUUGCCAAAACUGCACUGCAACAGUUCAUCGCCUCUCUUUCUAGUGUAAAAAAAAUGUUAAAAUAUUUACAUUAGUAUAUCAUUUAUCAUUUCACUCAGCAUAGCGACAUCUUAUUUUAUCUAGAUAUUCCCUGGAUACAUUUCCUUGUAUGUGUUAUUUGCUAUAUUUUAUCUUUGUGCCCAUGACCUUGUUUUAUCUGCUAAACUUAGCCAAGAGAGAGAGAAACAGAGCGACGGAGCCACAGUUUCUGUAAAGUCACCCUUACGACCAGGCAAACAGCCACACCACACCUUCAACAGCUGCAGGACUAUAGACACGUGGAUCACUGGCACAUGCACAAAGCACAGUGCAGACAAACCCCAACUGCAAAAUCUCUUUCUGACACUGUUAGCGAGGGAGCUAAAAAAGCCGAUUUUAUCAGCUACAGCCCAAACCACUGCGGGUUGUCUAGUGGGCACAAGAGUGUAGAGCACAUGAGCUCUUCUCGCCUGACAGAAACACCUGAGGCAGACUGGAAGGUCUGAUUCUGAAGCAAAGGAAAGUGGCCUGGACUUGUAGCAGUGUAGAGGUGUGACACAAAGGGGACACUGCUGGGUAUCUCAGCUCUACCUGCCAUCCCCCUGACCUCAAUGACACAGCACUUUCCCUAUAAACGUACCAUGAAUGACACUUUUCUUGCGUGCCUGCUUGCAAUUAAUGCACGGUUUUUUAAAGUCACAAAUAAGCAAGAAUACAAUGCUGAAAGGCCAGAAGAGCAGAGACUGAAACGACCAGGCUGCAUAUAAGUCUGGCUGCAGCGGAAGUUCAAGAGAUGGGGAAGACAGAUUAAAUGACCAUGAAAUAAAGAUGGGCAGGACAGACGGACGGCUGAGGACAUAGAGACAAUGCAGGCCACACCCACGCAGGUACAGAGAUUAGGUAACGCUGCACCACACCCAUUUCAGGAAUGCCUUUAGGAAAAAUGGCAGCCUAAAGGUCAAUUGCUUUCCCACGUACAACUGCCAGAUUGUUGUGUAUGUGACAUUUUCCUUACAUUUUGCAUGUAACAUGUAGCACCAAUCCCUUGAUAUACCAAAUUCUAUUUUCACAAAUAAAGUCUCUGAACAUG